rnacentral:rRNA from 1 species
AUUGAACGCUGGCGGCAGGCCUAACACAUGCAAGUCGAGCGGAUGAAGGGAGCUUGCUCCUGGAUUCAGCGGCGGACGGGUGAGUAAUGCCUAGGAAUCUGCCUGGUAGUGGGGGAUAACGUCCGGAAACGGGCGCUAAUACCGCAUACGUCCUGAGGGAGAAAGUGGGGGAUCUUCGGACCUCACGCUAUCAGAUGAGCCUAGGUCGGAUUAGCUAGUUGGUGGGGUAAAGGCCUACCAAGGCGACGAUCCGUAACUGGUCUGAGAGGAUGAUCAGUCACACUGGAACUGAGACACGGUCCAGACUCCUACGGGAGGCAGCAGUGGGGAAUAUUGGAUAAUGGGCGAAAGCCUGAUCCAGCCAUGCCGCGUGUGUGAAGAAGGUCUUCGGAUUGUAAAGCACUUUAAGUUGGGAGGAAGGGCAGUAAGUUAAUACCUUGCUGUUUUGACGUUACCAACAGAAUAAGCACCGGCUAACCUCGUG